rnacentral:piRNA from 1 species
GCCCUGAGGUAAACGAUAGGUGAGGUCUUGA